AUUGAACGCUGGCGGCAGGCCUAACACAUGCAAGUCGAGCGGAGCGGCGGACGGGUGAGUAAUGCCUAGGAAUCUGCCUGGUAGUGGGGGAUAACGUCCGGAAACGGGCGCUAAUACCGCAUACUAUCAGAUGAGCCUAGGUCGGAUUAGCUAGUGGGUGAGGUAAAGGCUCACCAAGCCGACGAUCUCUAGCUGGUCUGAGAGGAUGACCAGCCAGAGGGGGACUGGGACACGGCCCAGACUCUUAGGGGAGGCAGAGGUGGGGAAUAUUGCGCAAUGGGGGCAAGCCUGACGCAGCCAUGGCGCGGGAAUGAAGAAGGCCUUCGGGUUGGAAAGUUCUUUCGGUAGCGAGGCGUUAACGACAGAAGAAGCACCGGCUAACUCCGUGCCAGCCGCCGCGGUAAUAC
rnacentral:rRNA from 1 species